AGCUCAAUGAUUGCAGCAAAUAUUUUUUGGCAAUAUACGCUAUUCUGAGCAAGUUUGAGGGGCUGACAUUGGAAUAUAUGAGAGCU